UACGUAGGGAGCAAGCGUUGUCCGGAAUUACUGGGCGUAAAGGGUGCGUAGGCGGUCAGGCAAGUCAGAUGUGAAAUCCCCGGGCUUAACUCGGGUGGUGCAUUUGAAACUGCUUGACUUGAGUGCAGGAGAGGAAAGCGGAAUUCCUAGUGUAGCGGUGAAAUGCGUAGAUAUUAGGAGGAACACCAGUGGCGAAGGCGGCUUUCUGGACUGUAACUGACGCUGAGGCACGAAAGCGUGGGGAGCAAACAGGAUUAGAUACCCCAGUAGU
rnacentral:rRNA from 1 species